rnacentral:rRNA from 1 species
UUAAGUUAUUAAGGGCGCACGGUGGAUGCCUUGGCACUAGAAGCCGAUGAAGGACGUUACUAACGACGAUAUGCUUUGGGGAGCUGUAAGUAAGCUUUGAUCCAGAGAUUUCCGAAUGGGGAAACCCAGCAUGAGUUAUGUCAUGUUAUCGAUAUGUGAAUACAUAGCAUAUCAGAAGGCACACCCGGAGAACUGAAACAUCUUAGUACCCGGAGGAAGAGAAAGAAAAUUCGAUUCCCUUAGUAGCGGCGAGCGAAACGGGAAGAGCCCAAACCAACAAGCUUGCUUGUUGGGGUUGUAGGACACUCUAUACGGAGUUACAAAGGACGACAUUAGACGAAUCAUCUGGAAAGAUGAAUCAAAGAAGGUAAUAAUCCUGUAGUCGAAAAUGUUGUCUCUCUUGAGUGGAUCCUGAGUACGACGGAGCACGUGAAAUUCCGUCGGAAUCUGGGAGGACCAUCUCCUAAGGCUAAAUACUCUCUAGUGACCGAUAGUGAACCAGUACCGUGAGGGAAAGGUGAAAAGCACCCCGGAAGGGGAGUGAAAUAGAACCUGAAACCGUGUGCUUACAAGUAGUCAGAGCCCGUUAAUGGGUGAUGGCGUGCCUUUUGUAGAAUGAACCGGCGAGUUACGAUUUGAUGCAAGGUUAAGCAGUAAAUGUGGAGCCGUAGCGAAAGCGAGUCUGAAUAGGGCGUUUAGUAUUUGGUCGUAGACCCGAAACCAGGUGAUCUACCCUUGGUCAGGUUGAAGUUCAGGUAACACUGAAUGGAGGACCGAACCGACUUACGUUGAAAAGUGAGCGGAUGAACUGAGGGUAGCGGAGAAAUUCCAAUCGAACCUGGAGAUAGCUGGUUCUCUCCGAAAUAGCUUUAGGGCUAGCCUCAAGUGAUGAUUAUUGGAGGUAGAGCACUGUUUGGACGAGGGGCCCCUCUCGGGUUACCGAAUUCAGACAAACUCCGAAUGCCAAUUAAUUUAACUUGGGAGUCAGAACAUGGGUGAUAAGGUCCGUGUUCGAAAGGGAAACAGCCCAGACCACCAGCUAAGGUCCCAAAAUAUAUGUUAAGUGGAAAAGGAUGUGGCGUUGCCCAGACAACUAGGAUGUUGGCUUAGAAGCAGCCAUCAUUUAAAGAGUGCGUAAUAGCUCACUAGUCGAGUGACACUGCGCCGAAAAUGUACCGGGGCUAAACAUAUUACCGAAGCUGUGGAUUGUCCUUUGGACAAUGGUAGGAGAGCGUUCUAAGGGCGUUGAAGCAUGAUCGUAAGGACAUGUGGAGCGCUUAGAAGUGAGAAUGCCGGUGUGAGUAGCGAAAGACGGGUGAGAAUCCCGUCCACCGAUUGACUAAGGUUUCCAGAGGAAGGCUCGUCCGCUCUGGGUUAGUCGGGUCCUAAGCUGAGGCCGACAGGCGUAGGCGAUGGAUAACAGGUUGAUAUUCCUGUACCACCUAUAAUCGUUUUAAUCGAUGGGGGGACGCAGUAGGAUAGGCGAAGCGUGCGAUUGGAUUGCACGUCUAAGCAGUAAGGCUGAGUAUUAGGCAAAUCCGGUACUCNNUAAGGCUGAGCUGUGAUGGGGAGAAGACAUUGUGUCUUCGAGUCGUUGAUUUCACACUGCCGAGAAAAGCCUCUAGAUAGAAAAUAGGUGCCCGUACCGCAAACCGACACAGGUAGUCAAGAUGAGAAUUCUAAGGUGAGCGAGCGAACUCUCGUUAAGGAACUCGGCAAAAUGACCCCGUAACUUCGGGAGAAGGGGUGCUCUUUAGGGUUAACGCCCAGAAGAGCCGCAGUGAAUAGGCCCAAGCGACUGUUUAUCAAAAACACAGGUCUCUGCUAAACCGUAAGGUGAUGUAUAGGGGCUGACGCCUGCCCGGUGCUGGAAGGUUAAGAGGAGUGGUUAGCUUCUGCGAAGCUACGAAUCGAAGCCCCAGUAAACGGCGGCCGUAACUAUAACGGUCCUAAGGUAGCGAAAUUCCUUGUCGGGUAAGUUCCGACCCGCACGAAAGGCGUAACGAUUUGGGCACUGUCUCAACGAGAGACUCGGUGAAAUCAUAGUACCUGUGAAGAUGCAGGUUACCCGCGACAGGACGGAAAGACCCCGUGGAGCUUUACUGUAGCCUGAUAUUGAAAUUCGGCACAGCUUGUACAGGAUAGGUAGGAGCCUUUGAAACGUGAGCGCUAGCUUACGUGGAGGCGCUGGUGGGAUACUACCCUAGCUGUGUUGGCUUUCUAACCCGCACCACUUAUCGUGGUGGGAGACAGUGUCAGGCGGGCAGUUUGACUGGGGCGGUCGCCUCCUAAAAGGUAACGGAGGCGCUCAAAGGUUCCCUCAGAAUGGUUGGAAAUCAUUCAUAGAGUGUAAAGGCAUAAGGGAGCUUGACUGCGAGACCUACAAGUCGAGCAGGGUCGAAAGACGGACUUAGUGAUCCGGUGGUUCCGCAUGGAAGGGCCAUCGCUCAACGGAUAAAAGCUACCCCGGGGAUAACAGGCUUAUCUCCCCCAAGAGUUCACAUCGACGGGGAGGUUUGGCACCUCGAUGUCGGCUCAUCGCAUCCUGGGGCUGUAGUCGGUCCCAAGGGUUGGGCUGUUCGCCCAUUAAAGCGGUACGCGAGCUGGGUUCAGAACGUCGUGAGACAGUUCGGUCCCUAUCCGUCGUGGGCGUAGGAAAUUUGAGAGGAGCUGUCCUUAGUACGAGAGGACCGGGAUGGACAUACCUCUGGUGUACCAGUUGUCGUGCCAACGGCAUAGCUGGGUAGCUAUGUGUGGACGGGAUAAGUGCUGAAAGCAUCUAAGCAUGAAGCCCCCCUCAAGAUGAGAUUUCCCAACUUCGGUUAUAAGAUCCCUCAAAGAUGAUGAGGUUAAUAGGUUCGAGGUGGAAGCAUGGUGACAUGUGGAGCUGACGAAUACUAAUCGAUCGAAGACUUAAUCAA